rnacentral:rRNA from 1 species
UACGUAGGGCGCAAGCGUUGUCCGGAAUUAUUGGGCGUAAAGAGCUCGUAGGCGGCCUGUCGCGUCUGCUGUGAAAUCCCGGGGCUUAACCCCGGGCGUGCAGUGGAUACGGGCUGGCUGGAGGCAGGCAGGGGAGAACGGAAUUCCCGGUGUAGCGGUGAAAUGCGCAGAUAUCGGGAGGAACACCGGUGGCAAAGGCGGUUCUCUGGGCCUGUUCUGACGCUGAGGAGCGAAAGCGUGGGGAGCGAACAGG